UGGAGCGUGGCCAAGUUGGUAAGGCAACGGGUUUUGGUCCCGUGACCGCAGGUUCGAGUCCUGCCGCUCCAGCCA
rnacentral:tRNA from 1 species